UGGGGAAUAUUGCACAAUGGGCGCGAGCCUGAUGCAGCCAUGCCGCGUGUAUGAAGAAGGCCUUGGGUUGUAAAGUACUUUCAGCGGGGAGGAAGGCGGUGAGGUUAAUAACCUCAUCGAUUGACGUUACCCGCAGAAGAAGCACCGGCUAACUCCGCGCCAG
rnacentral:rRNA from 1 species